rnacentral:rRNA from 2 species
UGUCGUCAGCUCGUGUCGUGAGAUGUUGGGUUAAGUCCCGCAACGAGCGCAACCCUUGAUUUUAGUUGCCAGCAUUUAGUUGGGCACUCUAAAGUGACUGCCGGUGCAAGCCGGAGGAAGGUGGGGAUGACGUCAAAUCAUCAUGCCCCUUAUGACCUGGGCUACACACGUGCUACAAUGGAUGGUACAAAGGGUCGCGAAGCCGCGAGGUGGAGCCAAUCCCAUAAAACCAUUCUCAGUUCGGAUUGUAGGCUGCAACUCGCCUACAUGAAGCCGGAAUCGCUAGUAAUCGUGGAUCAGCAUGCCACGGUGAAUACGUUCCCGGGCCUUGUACACACCGCCCGUCACACCACGAGAGUUUGUAACACCCGAAGUCGGUAGGGUAACCUUUAUGGAGCCAGCCGCCGAAGGUGGGACAGAUAAUUGGGGUGAAGUCGUAACAAGGUAGCCGUAUCGGAAGGUGCGGCUGGAUCACCUCCUUUCUAAGGAA